rnacentral:rRNA from 1 species
AUGAAACGCCGGCGGCAUGCUUUACACAUGCAAGUCGAACGGCAGCACGGACUUCGGUCUGGUGGCGAGUGGCGAACGGGUGAGUAAUACAUCGGAACGUACCCAGUAAUGGGGGAUAACUAUCCGAAAGGAUAGCUAAUACCGCAUACGCCCUACGGGGGAAAGAGGGGGAUCGCAAGACCUCUUGUUAUUGGAGCGACCGAUGGCUGAUUAGCUAGUUGGUGAGGUAAAGGCUCACCAAGGCGACGAUCAGUAGCGGGUCUUAGAGGACGAUCCGCCACACUGGAACUGAGACACGGUCCAGACUCCUACGGGAGGCAGCAGUGGGGAAUCUUGGACAAUGGGCGCAAGCCUGAUCCAGCAAUGCCGCGUGCGUGAAGAAGGCCUUCGGGUUGUAAAGCGCUUUUGUCAGGGAGCAAAAGGUGGUGGCUAAUAUCCAUCGCUCUUGAGAGUACCUGAAGAAUAAGGACCGGCUAACUACGUGCCAGCAGCCGCGGUAAUACGUAGGGUCCAAGCGUUAAUCGGAAUUACUGGGCGUAAAGCGUGCGCAGGUGGUUUGUUAAGCACGAUGUGAAAUCCCCGAGCUCAACUUGGGAAUUGCAUUGUGAACUGGCUAACUAGAGUACGGCAGAGGGGGGUGGAAUUCCACGUGUAGCAGUGAAAUGCGUAGAGAUGUGGAGGAACACCGAUGGCGAAGGCAACCCCCUGGGCUGAUACUGACACUCAUGCACGAAAGCGUGGGGAGCAAACAGGAUUAGAUACCCUGGUAGUCCACGCCCUAAACGAUGUCAACUAGUUGUUGGGCUUUUCGGAGCUUAGUAACGCAGCUAACGCGUGAAGUUGACCGCCUGG